rnacentral:rRNA from 1 species
UGAACCUGCGGAAGGAUCAUUACCGAGUGAGGGCCCUCUGGGUCCAACCUCCCACCCGUGUUUAUUUUACCUUGUUGCUUCGGCGGGCCCGCCUUAACUGGCCGCCGGGGGGCUUACGCCCCCGGGCCCGCGCCCGCCGAAGACACCCUCGAACUCUGUCUGAAGAUUGUAGUCUGAGUGAAAAUAUAAAUUAUUUAAAACUUUCAACAACGGAUCUCUUGGUUCCGGCAUCGAUGAAGAACGCAGCGAAAUGCGAUACGUAAUGUGAAUUGCAAAUUCAGUGAAUCAUCGAGUCUUUGAACGCACAUUGCGCCCCCUGGUAUUCCGGGGGGCAUGCCUGUCCGAGCGUCAUUGCUGCCCUCAAGCACGGCUUGUGUGUUGGGCCCCGUCCUCCGAUCCCGGGGGACGGGCCCGAAAGGCAGCGGCGGCACCGCGUCCGGUCCUCGAGCGUAUGGGGCUUUGUCACCCGCUCUGUAGGCCCGGCCGGCGCUUGCCGAUCAACCCAAAUUUUUAUCCAGGUUGACCUCGGAUCAGGUAGGGAUACCCGCUGAACUUAAGCAUAUCAAUA